rnacentral:rRNA from 1 species
AACUCUCAGCAACGGAUAUCUUGGCUCUUGCAACGAUGAAGAACGCAGCGAAAUGCGAUACGUAGUGUGAAUUGCAGAAUUCCGCGAAUCAUCGAGUUUUUGAACGCAAGUUGCGCCCGAGGCUUGUCCGAGGGCAUUUCCGCUAGAGCGUCACC